rnacentral:rRNA from 1 species
UACGUAGGCGGCUUAAUAAGUCAGAUGUGAAAUCCCCGGGCUUAACCUGGGAACUGCAUUUGAAACUGUUUGGCUAGAGUGAGUGAGAGGUUAGUGGAAUUCAAGGCGUAGCGGUGAAAUGCGUAGAGGUCUUGAGGAACAUCAGUGGCGAAGGCGACUAACUGGCACUACACUGACGCUGAGGUACGAAAGCGUGGGGAGCGAACA